AGAGUUUGAUCCUGGCUCAGGAUGAACGCUGGCGGCGUGCCUAACACAUGCAAGUCGAACGGAACUUCUUUGACAGAAUUCUUCGGAAGGAAGUUGAUUAAGUUUAGUGGCGGACGGGUGAGUAACGCGUGAGUAACCUGCCUCUGAGAGGGGAAUAACAUUCUGAAAAGAAUGCUAAUACCGCAUAAUAUAUAUUUAUCGCAUGGUAGAUAUAUCAAAGAUUUAUCGCUUAGAGAUGGACUCGCGUCCGAUUAGUUAGUUGGUGAGGUAACGGCUCACCAAGGCGAUGACGGGUAGCCGGUCUGAGAGGAUGUCCGGCCACACUGGAACUGAGACACGGUCCAGACACCUACGGGUGGCAGCAGUCGAGAAUCAUUCACAAUGGGGGAAACCCUGAUGGUGCGACGCCGCGUGGGGGAAUGAAGGUCUUCGGAUUGUAAACCCCUGUCAUGUGGGAGCAAAUUAAAAAGAUAGUACCACAAGAGGAAGAGACGGCUAACUCUGUGCCAGCAGCCGCGGUAAUACAGAGGUCUCAAGCGUUGUUCGGAAUCACUGGGCGUAAAGCGUGCGUAGGCUGUUUCGUAAGUCGUGUGUGAAAGGCGCGGGCUCAACCCGCGGACGGCACAUGAUACUGCGAGACUAGAGUAAUGGAGGGGGAACCGGAAUUCUCGGUGUAGCAGUGAAAUGCGUAGAUAUCGAGAGGAACACUCGUGGCGAAGGCGGGUUCCUGGACAUUAACUGACGCUGAGGCACGAAGGCCAGGGGAGCGAAAGGGAUUAGAUACCCCUGUAGUCCUGGCAGUAAACGGUGCACGCUUGGUGUGCGGGGAAUCGACCCCCUGCGUGCCGGAGCUAACGCGUUAAGCGUGCCGCCUGGGGAGUACGGUCGCAAGAUUAAAACUCAAAGAAAUUGACGGGGACCCGCACAAGCGGUGGAGUAUGUGGUUUAAUUCGAUGCAACGCGAAGAACCUUACCUGGGCUUGACAUGUAAUGAACAACAUGUGAAAGCAUGCGACUCUUCGGAGGCGUUACACAGGUGCUGCAUGGCCGUCGUCAGCUCGUGUCGUGAGAUGUUUGGUUAAGUCCAGCAACGAGCGCAACCCCUGUUGCCAGUUACCAGCACGUGAAGGUGGGGACUCUGGCGAGACUGCCCAGAUCAACUGGGAGGAAGGUGGGGACGACGUCAGGUCAGUAUGGCCCUUAUGCCCAGGGCUGCACACGUACUACAAUGCCCAGUACAGAGGGGGCCGAAGCCGCGAGGCGGAGGAAAUCCUGAAAACUGGGCCCAGUUCGGACUGUAGGCUGCAACCCGCCUACACGAAGCCGGAAUCGCUAGUAAUGGCGCAUCAGCUACGGCGCCGUGAAUACGUUCCCGGGUCUUGUACACACCGCCCGUCACAUCAUGGAAGCCGGUCGCACCCGAAGUAUCUGAAGCCAACCGCAAGGAGGCAGGGUCCUAAGGUGAGACUGGUAACUGGGAUGAAGUCGUAACAAGGUAGCCGUAGGGGAACCUGCGG
rnacentral:rRNA from 1 species